rnacentral:rRNA from 1 species
GACGAACGCUGGCGGCGUGCUUAACACAUGCAAGUCGAACGGAAAGGCCCUGCUUUUGUGUGGUGCUCGAGUGGCGCACGGGUGAGUAACACGUGAGUCACCUUCCCUUUACUUUGGGAUAACUUCAGGAAACUGGGGCUAAUACCGGAUAGGUGCUCCUGCUGCAUGGUGGGGGUUGGAAAGUUUCGGCGGUUGGGGAUGGACUCGGGGCUUAUGAGCUUGUUGGUGGGGUAGUGGCUUACCAAGGCUUUGACGGGUAGCCGGCCUGAGAGGGUGACCGGCCACAUUGGGACUGAGAUACGGACCAGACUCCUACGGGAGGCAGCAGUGGGGAAUAUUGCACAAUGGGCGGAAGCCUGAUGCAGCAACGCCGCGUGCGGGAUGACGGCCUUCGGGUUGUAAACCGCUUUCGCCUGUGACGAAGCGUGAGUGACGGUAAUGGGUAAAGAAGCACCGGCUAACUACGUG